UCGCCGCCGACGACGUCGCGAGAAGUCCACUGAACCUUAUCAUUUAGAGGAAGGAGAAGUCGUAACAAGGUUUCCGUAGGUGAACCUGCGGAAGGAUCAUUGUCGACACCUGCAACGCAGAGAGACCCGCGAACCGUUUUUCCAACGCCCGGGAUAUCGGGGGGCGCCUAGCCGCUCGGUAGCCCGAAAGCUCCGGACGCUGGGGGUGCAACCCACCCCCAGCGGGCGGAGCUCUAAACAAACCCCGGCGUGCGAAGCGCCAAGGUACUCCAACGAUAGGGCACGCGCCUGUAGCCCUGGGUUCCAGUGUGCUCGGGCUGCUGUUCAAUGUCAUAAAGUCUAAACGACUNNNGUGUGAAUUGCAGAAUCCCGUGAACCAUCGAGUCUUUGAACGCAAGUUGCGCCCGAAGCCUUGGCUGAGGGCACGUCUGCCUGGGUGUCACGCAUCGCGUUGCCUCCAAACCCUUCACCCUUCGGACGAUGCGGUGAUGGGCUGGAUGCGGAAGCUGGCCUCCCGUGGCCACGAGCCACGGAUGGCCCAAACACAUGCUCGGGAAGCGAAGCGCCACGGCAUUCGGUGGUUGAUCCAAGCCCCAUAAGCAGUGCCGGCGGUAGCCGCAUCUGUCCCUAGCCCACGACCCUAAACGUCAACCAACGCGACCUCAGGUCAGGCGGGGCUACCCGCUGAGUUUAAGCAUAUCAAUAAGCGGAGG
rnacentral:rRNA from 1 species